ensembl:ncRNA C06E1.14 ncRNA
UGAAAGCUUCUUUUUCAUUUGCAGGCAAGAAUGCAGCUACCUGGAAAACAAUAAUAUUUGUGGCAAAAAAUCAGUGAUAAUGAAAAUAGCUUUUAAAAAAUUAUUUGAUUGAGCUUGUGGAAU